rnacentral:rRNA from 1 species
CCUACGGGAGGCAGCAGUGAGGAAUAUUGGUCAAUGGACGAGAGUCUGAACCAGCCAAGUAGCGUGAAGGAUGACUGCCCUAUGGGUUGUAAACUUCUUUUAUAUGGGAAUAAAAUGUUCAACGUGUGGGAUUUUGUAUGUACCAUAUGAUUCAGGAUCGGCUAACUCCGUGCCAGCAGCCGCGGUAAUCCGGAGGAUCCGAGCGUUAUCCGGUGUUAUUGGGUUUAAAGGGAGCGUAGGUGGAUUGUUAAGUCAGUUGGGAAAGUUUGCGGCUCAACCGUAAAAUUGCAGUUGAAACUGGCAGUCUUGAGUACAGUAGAGGUGAGCGGAAUUCGUGGUGUAGCGGUGAAAUGCUUAGAUAUCACGAAGAACUCCGAUUGCGAAGGCAGCUCGCUGGACUGCAACUGACACUGAGGCUCGAAAGUGUGGGUAUCAAACAGGAUUAGAUACCCUAGUAGUC